GACGAACGCUGGCGGCGUGCCUAACACAUGCAAGUCGAACGGAGCUCCUUCGGGGGCUUAGUGGCGAACGGGUGAGUAACGCGUGAGAAACCUGCCUUUCAGUGUGGGAUAGCGGUUGGAAACGACCGGUAAUACCGCAUAAUGUAUUUUAGGGGCAUCCCUUUAAUACCAAAGAUUUAUUGCUGAAAGAUGGUCUCGCGUCUGAUUAGCUAGAUGGCGGGUAACGGCCACCAUGGCGACGAUCAGUAGCCGGUCUGAGAGGAUGAACGGCCACAUUGGGACUGAGAUACGGCCCAGACUCCUACGGGAGGCAGCAGUGGGGAAUAUUGGGCAAUGGGGGAAACCCUGACCCAGCAAACGCCGCGUGAAGGAAGAAAGGCCUUCGGUUGGUAACGUUACUUUACUACGGUACGAACGACAAUA
rnacentral:rRNA from 1 species